rnacentral:rRNA from 1 species
GACGAACGCUGGCGGCGUGCCUAAUACAUGCAAGUCGAGCGCAGGAAGCCGUCUGAACCCUUCGGGGGGGCGACGGUGGAAUGAGCGGCGGACGGGUGAGUAACACGUAAAGAACCUGCCCAUAGGUCUGGGAUAACCACGAGAAAUCGGGGCUAAUACCGGAUGUGUCAUCGGACCGCAUGGUCCGAUGAUGAAAGGCGCUUCGGCGUCGCCCAUGGAUGGCUUUGCGGUGCAUUAGCUAGUUGGUGGGGUAACGGCCCACCAAGGCGACGAUGCAUAGCCGACCUGAGAGGGUGAUCGGCCACACUGGGACUGAGACACGGCCCAGACUCCUACGGGAGGCAGCAGUAGGGAAUCUUCCACAAUGGACGAAAGUCUGGUGGAGCAACGCCGCGUGAACGAUGAAGGCUUUCGGGUCGUAAAGUUCUGUUGUAAGGGAAGAACAAGUGCCGCAGGCAAUGGCGGCACCUUGACGGUACCUUGCGAGAAAGCCACGGCUAACUACGUGCCAGCCGCCGCGGUAAUAC